rnacentral:rRNA from 1 species
UACGUAGGGUGCAAGCGUUAAUCGGAAUUACUGGGCGUAAAGCGUGCGCAGGCGGUUAUGCAAGACAGAGGUGAAAUCCCCGGGCUCAACCUGGGAACUGCAUCUGUGACUGCAUCGCUGGAGUACGGUAGAGGGGGAUGGAAUUCCGCGUGUAGCAGUGAAAUGCGUAGAUAUGCGGAGGAACACCGAUGGCGAAGGCAAUCCCCUGGACCUGUACUGACGCUCAUGCACGAAAGCGUGGGGAGCAAACAGG